rnacentral:rRNA from 1 species
CCUACGGGAGGCAGCUGUGAGGAAUAUUGGUCAAUGGACGAGAGUCUGAACCAGCCAAGUAGCGUGAAGGAUGACUGCCCCAUGGGUUGUUAACUUCUUUUAUAUGGGAAUAAAACAGGGUAUGCAUACCCUCUUUUAUGUACCAUAUGAAUAAGGAUCGGCUAACUCCGUGCCAGCAGCCGCGGUAAUACGGAGGAUCCGAGCGUUAUCCGGAUUUAUUGGUUUUAAAGGGAGCGUAGGUGGAUUGUUAAGUCAGUUGUGAAAGUUUGCGGCUAAACCGUAAAAUUGCAGUUGAAACUGGCAGGCUUGAGUACAGUAGAGGUGGGCGGAAUUCGUGGUGUAGCGGUGAAAUGCUUAGAUAUCACGAAGAACUCCGAUUGCGAAGGCAGCUAACUGGACUGCAACUGACACUGAUGCUCGAAAGUGUGGGUAUCAAACAGGAUUAGAUACCCCAGUAGUC